UGAGGAAUAUUGGUCAAUGGGCGCGAGCCUGAACCAGCCAAGUCGCGUGAGGGAUGACGGCCCUACGGGUUGUAAACCUCUUUUGUCGGGGAGCAAAUUCCGUUACGUGUAACGGAGUCGAGAGUACCCGAAGAAAAAGCAUCGGCUAACUCCGUGCCAGCAGCCGCGGUAAUACGGAGGAUGCGAGCGUUAUCCGGAUUUAUUGGGUUUAAAGGGUGCGUAGGCGGACUGUCAAGUCAGCGGUAAAAUACGGGGGCUCAACCUCCGCCCGCCGUUGAAACUGACGGUCUUGAGUGGGCGAGAAGUAUGCGGAAUGCGUGGUGUAGCGGUGAAAUGCAUAGAUAUCACGCAGAACUCCGAUUGCGAAGGCAGCAUACCGGCGCCCAACUGACGCUGAAGC
rnacentral:rRNA from 1 species